rnacentral:piRNA from 1 species
UCAAUAAAUGUUGGCUAUUGGCCGGGUGU